GGAACAAAGAAUGAAAAUUACCAUUCAACUGGGUCGCUAACAAAAAUUCAUCAUCUCCAAUGGCGAAAGAAUUCUAAAUGGUCCUUUAAAUAAAGCCUGAAAUUCCCGAGUUCACUGAUGAAUUCAAGCAAUAUUAACCCUCCCAAAGCCUAAAAUACAAACCAUGAAACCUAGAAUCCGACAAGAAAUCCGCACACUAAAUAAAUAAUAUAUCCCUAUCGCCCAAAACUUUCCACGAAAGAAUAAAAUCCUCAAAAAGAAGAAAAAUAUAUAUACUUACGUAGGAAACAACCAAAGCUCCUUCGAGCAAAAACACCCAGAAGUGAAAACCCUAGAUCGAAUCGAAGCUAAAUAAAUGCAUCGACCCGAACAACUCAAAUACAAUGUGCGAUAAAACCCUACUAAGGAGGUUUAUCCUUCACCAGAAAUCCAAUUCUAAAUCUGGAUCUCGCGCCCAAGCUUUUGAUUCGUACAAAC
rnacentral:misc_RNA from 1 species